rnacentral:snoRNA from 1 species
AUGGUCUGGGGAAAGGCUCCUGUGUUGUUGAACCCGCCCAGUCCUGGGUGCAGCCUUCUACCAGACAGCCCAACCCUGACCUAAAGAAAAUUCCCAUAAGUCUUUCCCUAGGAUUUGAAUUUCCAGUAACAGGUGUGAGCAUUUUAGCAGUAGUUGGAUGUUCAUGUAUGAUACUGCAAACAGGA